rnacentral:lncRNA from 1 species
ACUGCUGGCGCUCGUGUUGGUCGGAAGAAAUAUACAAUAUGAUUGGGGACCUUCUCAAUGAGUACAAAAACUGAACAUUUUUGUUACCUGUUUGGGCGUGUUUGAUACCGCUGAGACAAAUCUGUAACAAUUGUAUUUAUUAGAGUACGCAGGAGAAGAUCAAAUUAUUUGUUUAAGAACCAGAAAAGAUUCAAUAAAUACAUUUUUAGACAAA